UACUGUACCCUCUACUUGCCAUCUGAAUCC
rnacentral:piRNA from 1 species